AUACGUAGGUCCCGAGCGUUGUCCGGAUUUAUUGGGCGUAAAGCGAGCGCAGGCGGUUUCAUAAGUCUGAAGUUAAAGGCAGUGGCUUAACCAUUGUACGCUUUGGAAACUGUGAGACUUGAGUGCAGAAGGGGAGAGUGGAAUUCCAUGUGUAGCGGUGAAAUGCGUAGAUAUAUGGAGGAACACCGGUGGCGAAAGCGGCUCUCUGGUCUGUAACUGACGCUGAGGCUCGAAAGCGUGGGGAGC
rnacentral:rRNA from 1 species